rnacentral:rRNA from 1 species
AGAGUUUGAUCCUGGCUCAGGACGAACGCUGGCGGCGUGCUUAACACAUGCAAGUGGAGCGACGAACCAGGGCUUGCCCUGGGGCAAAGCCGCGAACGGGUGAGUAACACGUGGGUUACCUGCCCCGAUGACCGGGACAACCCGAGGAAACUCGGGCUAAUACCGGAUGUGACCGUAAGGUGAAAGGAAGCUUCGGCCUCCGCAUCGGGAUGGGCCCGCGGCCCAUUAGCUUGUUGGUGGGGUAAUGGCCUACCAAGGCGACGAUGGGUAGCUGGUCUGAGAGGAUGAUCAGCCACACUGGGACUGAGACACGGCCCAGACUCCUACGGGAGGCAGCAGUGGGGAAUCUUGCGCAAUGCGCGAAAGCGUGACGCAGCAACGCCGCGUGGGGGAAGAAGGCUUUCGGGUUGUAAACCCCUUUCAGUUGG